rnacentral:tRNA from 1 species
GCCUUCGUGAUGUAGUGGUCAUCAGGCUGGACUCGUGUUCGAGAGAUACUUGGUUCGAGUCCGGGGGAGGGCA